rnacentral:rRNA from 1 species
AGAGUUUGAUCCUGGCUCAGGACGAACGCUGGCGGCGUGCUUAACACAUGCAAGUCGAACGGAAAGGCCCUUCGGGGUACUCGAGUGGCGAACGGGUGAGUAACACGUGGGUGAUCUGCCCUGCACUCUGGGAUAAGCCUGGGAAACUGGGUCUAAUACCGGAUAGGACCACACACUUCAUGGUGAGUGGUGCAAAGCUUUUGCGGUGUGGGAUGAGCCCGCGGCCUAUCAGCUUGUUGGUGGGGUAAUGGCCCACCAAGGCGACGACGGGUAGCCGGCCUGAGAGGGUGACCGGCCACACUGGGACUGAGAUACGGCCCAGACUCCUACGGGAGGCAGCAGUGGGGAAUAUUGCACAAUGGGCGCAAGCCUGAUGCAGCGACGCCGCGUGAGGGAUGACGGCCUUCGGGUUGUAAACCUCUUUCAGCACAGACGAAGCGUGAGUGACGGUAUGUGCAGAAGAAGGACCGGCCAACUACGUGCCAGCAGCCGCGGUAAUACGUAGGGUCCGAGCGUUGUCCGGAAUUACUGGGCGUAAAGAGCUCGUAGGUGGUUUGUCGCGUUGUUCGUGAAAACUCACAGCUUAACUGUGGGCGCGCGGGCGAUACGGGCAGACUUGAGUACUGCAGGGGAGACUGGAAUUCCUGGUGUAGCGGUGGAAUGCGCAGAUAUCAGGAGGAACACCGGUGGCGAAGGCGGGUCUCUGGGCAGUAACUGACGCUGAGGAGCGAAAGCGUGGGGAGCGAACAGGAUUAGAUACCCUGGUAGUCC